GAUGAACGCUGGCGGCGUGCUUAACACAUGCAAGUCGAACGGAAAGGCCCAAGCUUGCUUGGGUACUCGAGUGGCGAACGGGUGAGUAACACGUGGGUGAUCUGCCCUGCACUUCGGGAUAAGCCUGGGAAACUGGGUCUAAUACCGGAUAGGACGAUGGUUUGGAUGCCAUUGUGGAAAGUUUUUUCGGUGUGGGAUGAGCUCGCGGCCUAUCAGCUUGUUGGUGGGGUAAUGGCCUACCAAGGCGUCGACGGGUAGCCGGCCUGAGAGGGUGUACGGCCACAUUGGGACUGAGAUACGGCCCAGACUCCUACGGGAGGCAGCAGUGGGGAAUAUUGCACAAUGGCGCAAGCCUGAUGCAGCGACGCCGCGUGGGGGAUGACGGCCUUCGGGUUGUAGACUCCUUUCGCUAGGGACGAAGCGUUUUUGUGACGGUACCUGGAGAAGAAGCACCGGCUAACUACGUG
rnacentral:rRNA from 1 species